rnacentral:rRNA from 1 species
UACAGAGGGGGCAAGCGUUGUUCGGAAUUACUGGGCGUAAAGGGCGCGUAGGCGGCCCGCUAAGUCGAACGUGAAAUCCCCGAGCUCAACUCGGGAACUGCGUCCGAUACUGGUGGGCUUGAAUCCGGGAGAGGGAUGCGGAAUUCCAGGUGUAGCGGUGAAAUGCGUAGAUAUCUGGAGGAACACCGGUGGCGAAGGCGGCAUCCUGGACCGAGAUUGACGCUGAGGCGCGAAAGCCAGGGGAGCAAACGGG